rnacentral:rRNA from 1 species
AGGGAAUCUUCCGCAAUGGACGAAAGUCUGACGGAGCAACGCCGCGUGAGUGAUGAAGGUUUUCGGAUCGUAAAGCUCUGUUGCCAGGGAAGAACGUCUUCUGGAGUAACUGCCAGGAGAGUGACGGUACCUGAGAAGAAAGCCCCGGCUAACUACGUGCCAGCAGCCGCGGUAAUACGUAGGGGGCAAGCGUUGUCCGGAAUUAUUGGGCGUAAAGCGCGCGCAGGCGGCUGUUUAAGUCUGGUGGUUAAUCCUGGGGCUCAACCCCGGGUCGCACUGGAAACUGGACGGCUUGAGUGCAGAAGAGGAGAGUGGAAUUCCACGUGUAGCGGUGAAAUGCGUAGAGAUGUGGAGGAACACCAGUGGCGAAGGCGGCUCUCUGGUCUGUAACUGACGCUGAGGCGCGAAAGCGUGGGGAGCAAAC